rnacentral:rRNA from 1 species
AGUGAACGCUGGCGGUAGGCCUAACACAUGCAAGUCGAACGGCAGCACAGUAAGAGCUUGCUCUUACGGGUGGCGAGUGGCGGACGGGUGAGGAAUACAUCGGAAUCUACUUUUUCGUGGGGGAUAACGUAGGGAAACUUACGCUAAUACCGCAUACGACCUACGGGUGAAAGCAGGGGAUCUUCGGACCUUGCGCGAUUGAAUGAGCCGAUGUCGGAUUAGCUAGUUGGCGGGGUAAAGGCCCACCAAGGCGACGAUCCGUAGCUGGUCUGAGAGGAUGAUCAGCCACACUGGACCUGAGACACGGUCCAGACUCCUACGGGAGGCAGCAGUGGGGAAUAUUGGACAAUGGGCGCAGGCCUGAUCCAGCCAUACCGCGUGGGUGAAGAAGGCCUUCGGGUUGUAAAGCCCUUUUGUUGGGAAAGAAAAGCAGCAGGUUAAUACCCCGCUGUUCUGACGGUACCCAAAGAAUAAGCACCGGCUAACUUCGU